rnacentral:rRNA from 1 species
UGGGGAAUAUUGGACAAUGGGGGCAACCCUGAUCCAGCCAUGCCGCGUGAGUGAUGAAGGCCUUCGGGUUGUAAAGCUCUUUUGGCGGGGACGAUGAUGACGGUACCCGCAGAAUAAGCCCCGGCUAACUUCGUGCCAGCAGCCGCGGUAAGACGAAGGGGGCUAGCGUUGUUCGGAAUUACUGGGCGUAAAGCGAGUGUAGGCGGUUGCCGUAGUCAGGUGUGAAAGCCUUGAGCUCAACUCAAGAAAUGCACUUGAUACUGGGUGACUAGAGGACCGGAGAGGAUAGUGGAAUUCCCAGUGUAGUGGUGAAAUACGUAGAGAUUGGGAAGAACACCAGUGGCGAAGGCGGCUAUCUGGACGGUUACUGACGCUAAGACUCGAAAGCGUGGGGAGCAAACAGGAUUAGAUACCCUGGUAGUCCACGCCGUAAACGAUGGGUGCUAGACGUUGGCGAGCUUGCUCGUCAGUGUCGCAGCUAACGUGUUAAGCACCCCGCCUGGGGAGUACGGCCGCAAGGUUGAAACUUAAAUGAAUUAACGGGGGUCAUAGCUG